AAAAAAAUCUUCUGUAAAACAUAUUAGACUUAGAUUCAAAUUUGGGUUAAAAAAAACUAAUUAAGUAAUUCAGGUAAUUUAAUUUUUGGACGCCAACCCCGCCAACAACUCCAGGGUCGCUCCUUUCUCACGCCAGACUUGCUUGCUGGUAAUAUUUUGGUUCCUUGGCAAGUAGCCUACCAUAAACCCAUAUGACCUUGCCACAAUUUGCAGAAACGACAAUGUCUAAAACAAGUCUCGAAAAAGAUACCAGUUUCUCUCUAAACUUGGUCCAUCUUUUCCUAUAUAAAUUCAACACCAUUCUCAAGAGAAUAUAGAAACGUAAUUUCAUUGCUGCCCAUUUGUUUCCAAUUUAGCACUCUUCUGUUGCAGGUUUUAAGAAGUGUCAUCGAUGGCAGAUGGUAGCGAGAAUACCUUUCAACUUAGUGUUAAGCAGAAUGAACCAACUCUGGUUCCUCCUGCAGAGGAGACAGAGAAGGGUCUGUACUUCCUUUCUAACCUUGACCAGAACAUUGCAGUGAUUGUUCGUACUAUUUACUGCUUUAAGUCUGAUGUGAAAGGGAAUGAGGAUGCAGUGGAAAUUAUUAAGGAUGCUCUGUCAAAAAUUCUUGUUCACUGCUAUCCUCUUGCUGGGCGGUUGACGAUCAGCUCAGAAGGGAAGCUGAUAGUGGAUUGCACUGGGGAGGGUGCUGUUUUUGUUGAAGCUGAAGCAAACUGUUCCAUAACUGAGAUAGGAGACACCACAAAGCCUGACCCUGUCACACUUGGGAAGUUGGUUUAUGAUAUUCCGGGUGCACAGAACAUAUUUCAGAUGCCUCCUCUGGUGGCUCAGGUGACGAGAUUCAAAUGUGGAGGAUUUGUCCUUGGACUAUGCAUGAACCACUGUAUGUUCGAUGGAAUUGGUGCAAUGGAAUUUGUGAAUUCAUGGGGUGAAACUGCCAGGGGCUUGCCUCUGAAGGUCCCUCCAUUUCUAGAUAGAAGCAUACUCAAAGCCCGAAACCCACCUAAGAUAGAGUUUCCACACCAUGAAUUUGCUGAGAUUGAAGAUGUAUCAAAUACCAGCAAGCUCUAUGAAGAAGAAAUGCUUUUUAGAUCAUUCUGUUUUGAUCCUGAGAAGCUUGAACGACUAAAAAGAAAAGCCAUGGAAGAUGGAGUUCUAGCCAAGUGCACUACAUUUGAAGCUCUUUCAGCCUUUGUGUGGAGAGCUAGAUGUCAGGCAUUAAGGAUGCUUCCUGAUCAACAAACAAAAUUGCUGUUUGCUGUAGAUGGACGGUCUAGAUUUGUGCCACCAAUACCUGUGGGGUACUUUGGCAAUGGAAUUGUGUUAACAAAUUCUUUGUGUAAAGCAGGCGAUUUACAGGAUAAUCAUCUGUCUUUUGCAGUAGGAUUAGUUCAGGAGGCUGUUAAAUUGGUUAAUGACAGUUAUAUGAGAUCGGCUAUAGACUACUUUGAAGUUACAAGAGCUAGACCUUCUCUGGCUGCAACUCUUUUAAUCACGACUUGGUCUAGGCUAUCCUUCCACACAACAGACUUCGGCUACGGGGAGCCUAUUUUAUCAGGGCCUGUUGCUUUGCCUGAGAAGGAAGUAAUUCUUUUCCUUUCUCAUGGGGAAGAGAGGAAAAGCAUAAACGUUCUUUUGGGUUUGCCAGCUUCUGCCAUGAAAAUCUUCGAAGAACUAAUGCAGAUCUGAACAAUCAAAAGAUCCAUUUGAUGCUCAUACCAAUGGAAAGGUCUUCCUGAUUUAUUAUUUAUUUUUCUAUGGAAGUAUAUUAUGUGUUUUCAGUUGCCAAAAGAUGCACUUCUUCAUGCUAAUGAUAUCUGCUGGAGGAAGAAAUGCCAAUGGUAAGGUUGGGCUCUGAAAAAAAUAACAGAUGAAGUGCAAAUUCAAGUCUCCUGCUUCUUUUCUAGCAUUUCUUACCUGCAUAUGUACCUGUGUAUCUACGUCUGUAGUCUUAAGUAGACGCUUCGAUGAUAAAGCAAGCUGCUGUUUUAUUAAUUGAAUGGAGUAUUUGCA
rnacentral:misc_RNA from 1 species